rnacentral:rRNA from 1 species
ACGGAAGGCAGCAGUGGGGAAUAUUGGGCAAUGGACGAAAGUCUGACCCAGCGACGCCGCGUGAGGGAAGAAGGUCUUCGGAUUGUAAACCUUAGUCAACAGGGAAGAAGUAAGUGACGGUACCUGUGGAGGAAGCCACGGCUAACUACGUGCCAGCAGCCGCGGUAAUACGUAGGUGGCGAGCGUUAUCCGGAAUUACUGGGUGUAAAGGGCGUGUAGGCGGAACUGUAAGUCAGAUGUGAAAUCCCGGGGCUCAACCCCGGAACUGCAUUUGAAACUGCAGUCCUUGAGUAUCGGAGAGGCAAGCGGAAUUCCUAGUGUAGCGGUGAAAUGCGUAGAUAUUAGGAGGAACACCAGUGGCGAAGGCGGCUUGCUGGACGACAACUGACGCUGAGGCUCGAAAGCGUGGGGAGCAAACAGGAUUAGAUACCCUGGUA